GAUCAUGGCUCAGAUUGAACGCUGGCGGCAGGCUUAACACAUGCAAGUCGAACGGUAACAUAAAGAAGCUUGCUUCUUUGAUGACGAGUGGCGGACGGGUGAGUAAUGCUUGGGAAUCUAGCUUAUGGAGGGGGAUAACUACGGGAAACUGUAGCUAAUACCGCGUAAUAUCGAAAGAUUAAAGUGUGGGACCUUCGGGCCGCAUGCCAUAAGAUGAGCCCAAGUGGGAUUAGGUAGUUGGUGAGGG
rnacentral:rRNA from 1 species